AUUGAACGCUGGCGGCAUGCUUUACACAUGCAAGUCGAACGGUAACAGGCCGCAAGGUGCUGACGAGUGGCGAACGGGUGAGUAAUGCAUCGGAACGUGCCCAGUCGUGGGGGAUAACUACUCGAAAGAGUAGCUAAUACCGCAUACGAUCUAUGGAUGAAAGCGGGGGACCGUAAGGUCUCGCGCGAUUGGAGCGGCCGAUGUCAGAUUAGGUAGUUGGUGGGGUAAAGGCUCACCAAGCCAACGAUCUGUAGCUGGUCUGAGAGGACGACCAGCCACACUGGGACUGAGACACGGCCCAGACUCCUACGGGAGGCAGCAGUGGGGAAUUUUGGACAAUGGGCGCAAGCCUGAUCCAGCAAUGCCGCGUGCAGGAAGAAGGCCUUCGGGUUGUAAACUGCUUUUGUACGGAACGAAACGGCUCUGGUUAAUACCCGGGGCUAAUGACGGUACCGUAAGAAUAAGCACCGGCUAACUACGUG
rnacentral:rRNA from 1 species